AGUGACCGCUGGCGGUAGGCCUAACACAUGCCAGUCGAACGGCAGCACAGUAAGAGCUUGCUCUUACGGGUGGCGAGUGGCGGACGGGUGAGGAAUACAUCGGAAUCUACUUUUUCGUGGGGGAUAACGUAGGGAAACUUACGCUAAUACCGCAUACGACCUACGGGUGAAAGCAGGGGAUCUUCGGACCUUGCGCGAUUGAAUGAGCCGAUGUCGGAUUAGCUAGUUGGCGGGGUAAAGGCCCACCAAGGCGACGAUCCGUAGCUGGUCUGAGAGGAUGAUCAGCCACACUGGAACUGAGACACGGUCCAGACUCCUACGGGAGGCAGCAGUGGGGAAUAUUGGACAAUGGGCGCAAGCCUGAUCCAGCCAUACCGCGUGGGUGAAGAAGGCCUUCGGGUUGUAAAGCCCUUUUGUUGGGAAAGAAAAGCAGCAGGUUAAUACCCCGCUGUUCUGACGGUACCCAAAGAAUAAGCACCGGCUAACUUCGUG
rnacentral:rRNA from 1 species